UUAAUUGAAACCAAAAAAAAAGAGGUAUUUUAUUGUUAAUAAAAUUAUUGGAUUAGUUCCCAAUUAAA
rnacentral:tRNA from 1 species